GACGAACGCUGGCGGCGUGCUUAACACAUGCAAGUCGAACGGAAAGGCCCUACUUUUGUGGGGUGCUCGAGUGGCGAACGGGUGAGUAACACGUGAGUAACCUGCCCUUGACUUUGGGAUAACUUCAGGAAACUGGGGCUAAUACCGGAUAGGAGCUCCUGCUGCAUGGUGGGGGUUGGAAAGUUUCGGCGGUUGGGGAUGGACUCGCGCCUUAUCAGCUUGUUGGUGGGGUAGUGGCUUACCAAGGCUUUGACGGGUAGCCGGCCUGAGAGGGUGACCGGCCACAUUGGGACUGAGAUACGGCCCAGACUCCUACGGGAGGCAGCAGUGGGGAAUAUUGCACAAUGGGCGGAAGCCUGAUGCAGCAACGCCGCGUGCGGGAUGACGGCCUUCGGGUUGUAAACCGCUUUCGCCUGUGACGAAGCGUGAGUGACGGUAAUGGGUAAAGAAGCACCGGCUAACUACGUG
rnacentral:rRNA from 1 species